rnacentral:rRNA from 1 species
GCAGUCGAACGGCAGCAUGAUCUAGCUUGCUAGAUUGAUGGCGAGUGGCGAACGGGUGAGUAAUACAUCGGAACGUGCCCUGUAGUGGGGGAUAACUAGUCGAAAGAUUAGCUAAUACCGCAUACGACCUGAGGGUGAAAGUGGGGGACCGCAAGGCCUCAUGCUAUAGGAGCGGCCGAUGUCUGAUUAGCUAGUUGGUGAGGUAAAGGCUCACCAAGGCGACGAUCAGUAGCUGGUCUGAGAGGACGAUCAGCCGCACUGGGACUGAGACACGGCCCAGACUCCUACGGGAGGCAGCAGUGGGGAAUUUUGGACAAUGGGGGCAACCCUGAUCCAGCAAUGCCGCGUGUGUGAAGAAGGCCUUCGGGUUGUAAAGCACUUUUGUCCGGAAAGAAAUCGCACUUACUAAUAUUAGGUGUGGAUGACGGUACCGGAAGAAUAAGGACCGGCUAACUACGUGCCAGCAGCCGCGGUAAUACGUAGGGUCCAAGCGUUAAUCGGAAUUACUGGGCGUAAAGCGUGCGCAGGCGGUUGUGCAAGACCGAUGUGAAAUCCCCGGGCUUAACCUGGGAAUUGCAUUGGUGACUGCACGGCUAGAGUGUGUCAGAGGGGGGUAGAAUUCCACGUGUAGCAGUGAAAUGCGUAGAGAUGUGGAGGAAUACCGAUGGCGAAGGCAGCCCCCUGGGAUAACACUGACGCUCAUGCACGAAAGCGUGGGGAGCAAACAGGAUUAGAUACCCUGGUAGUCCACGCCCUAAACGAUGUCAACUAGUUGUUGGGGAUUCAUUUCCUUAGUAACGUAGCUAACGCGUGAAGUUGACCGCCUGGGGAGUACGGUCGCAAGAUUAAAACUCAAAGGAAUUGACGGGGACCCGCACAAGCGGUGGAUGAUGUGGAUUAAUUCGAUGCAACGCGAAAAACCUUACCUACCCUUGACAUGCCACUAACGAAGCAGAGAUGCAUUAGGUGCUCGAAAGAGAAAGUGGACACAGGUGCUGCAUGGCUGUCGUCAGCUCGUGUCGUGAGAUGUUGGGUUAAGUCCCGCAACGAGCGCAACCCUUGUCUCUAGUUGCUACGAAAGGGCACUCUAGAGAGACUGCCGGUGACAAACCGGAGGAAGGUGGGGAUGACGUCAAGUCCUCAUGGCCCUUAUGGGUAGGGCUUCACACGUCAUACAAUGGUGCAUACAGAGGGUUGCCAAGCCGCGAGGUGGAGCUAAUCCCAGAAAAUGCAUCGUAGUCCGGAUCGUAGUCUGCAACUCGACUACGCGAAGCGGAAUCG